rnacentral:rRNA from 1 species
CAGGGGCCUACCAUGCAAGUCGAGCGAGCUCUUCGGAGCUAGCGGCGGACGGGUUAGUAACGCGUGGGAACGUGCCCUUCACUGCGGAAUAGCCACUGGAAACGGUGAGUAAUACCGCAUACGCCCUUCGGGGGAAAGAUUUAUCGGUGAAGGAUCGGCCCGCGUUAGAUUAGAUAGUUGGUGGGGUAACGGCCUACCAAGUCUACGAUCUAUAGCUGGUUUUAGAGGAUGAUCAGCAACACUGGGACUGAGACACGGCCCAGACUCCUACGGGAGGCAGCAGUGGGGAAUCUUGGACAAUGGGCGCAAGCCUGAUCCAGCCAUGCCGCGUGAGUGAUGAAGGCCUUAGGGUCGUAAAGCUCUUUCGCCAGAGAUGAUAAUGACAGUAUCUGGUAAAGAAACCCCGGCUAACUCCGUGCCAGCAGCCGCGGUAAUACGGAGGGGGUUAGCGUUGUUCGGAAUUACUGGGCGUAAAGCGCACGUAGGCGGAUCAGAAAGUUGGGGGUGAAAUCCCGGGGCUCAACCCCGGAACUGCCUCCAAAACUCCUGGUCUUGAGUUCGAGAGAGGUGAGUGGAAUUCCGAGUGUAGAGGUGAAAUUCGUAGAUAUUCGGAGGAACACCAGUGGCGAAGGCGGCUCACUGGCUCGAUACUGACGCUGAGGUGCGAAAGUGUGGGGAGCAAACAGGAUUAGAUACCCUGGUAGU